rnacentral:rRNA from 1 species
UACGGAGGGCGCAAGCGUUGCUCGGAAUUAUUGGGCGUAAAGGGCAGGUAGGUGGUCUUAUUUGUCCGGGGUGAAAUCCUUGAGCUUAACUCAAGAAGUGCCUCGGAGACGGUGAGACUAGAGUUUUGGAGAGGGUCGUGGAAUUCCCGGUGUAGCGGUGAAAUGCGUAUAGAUCGGGAGGAACACCAGAGGCGAAAGCGGCGACCUGGACAAUGACUGACACUCAACUGCGAAAGCGUGGGGAGCAAACAGG